CAAUAUCACGUUGAAACACCGGUUAUCGUACGAUCACCGAAGUUAAGCAACAUCGAGCCUAGUCAGUACCUAGAUGGGUGAGCGCUUGGAAAUACCAGUUGC